rnacentral:rRNA from 1 species
UGGGGAAUAUUGGACAAUGGGCGAAAGCCUGAUCCAGCCAUGCCGCGUGAGUGAUGAAGGCCUUAGGGUUGUAAAACUCUUUCGCCGGGGAAGAUAAUGACGGUACCCGGAGAAGAAGCUCCGGCUAACUUCGUGCCAGCAGCCGCGGUAAUACGAAGGGGGCUAGCGUUGUUCGGAUUUACUGGGCGUAAAGCGCGUGUAGGCGGAUUUGUAAGUUGGGGGUGAAAUCCCGAGGCUCAACCUCGGAACUGCCUCCAAAACUACAAGUCUGGACCUAAGUAGAGGCAAGUGGAAUUGCGAGUGUAGAGGUGAAAUUCGUAGAUAUUCGCAGGAACACCAGUGGCGAAGGCGACUUGCUGGACUUAUGGUGACGCUGAGACGCGAAAGCGUGGGGAGCAAACAGGAUUAGAUACCCAGGUAGUCCCUGAGCGGGCUGGCAAGGCGCAU